CGAUCCAUUGCUCGCAGAAAAGAUCGAGAGCGAGAACGAUGGCGGCUUCCGUGACGGCGUGGGCGAAACCGGGCGCGUGGGCGUUGGACGCCGAGGAGCACGAGGCGGUCAUGGCCAAGAACGAAGACUCCUCCUCGGAGGCGCCGACGGAGCAGGAGCAAGACUUCCCCUCCCUCACCGCCGCCGCCGCCUCCAGGAUCCGCAAGAAGAAGAAGAAGGCGCAGACUCUCUCCCUCGCCGAGUUCACCACGGGCAAGCCCGUCUCCCACGGCGCCGCUGGCCGCCUAUCCUCUUCCUCCUCCUUCUCCUCCAAGGGUCUCACCUCCGACGAGCUCCUCAACCUCCCCACCGGUCCCCGCGAGCGAUCCGCUGAGGAGCUCGAGCGCUCCUCCUCCCGCGGCUUCGGCUAUGCCUACGGCGCCCGCGGCCGUGCGUCCGGGGAGGACCCCAACCCCGCACGCUGGGGCUCGUCUAGGGUUUCGGACGAGCCGAGGAGGGGUGGGUUUGGCGGAUCUGGCGAUGGAUCUAGCCGGGAUCUGGAGCCGUCUCGCGCUGACGAGAACGACGACUGGGGGGCGGGCAAGAAGCCCUUGGUGCCGGAGAGGAGGGAGAGGGGAGGAGGAGGGGGGUUCUUUGACUCGCAGUCCCGGGCCGACGAGUCGGACAGCUGGAUCUCGACCAAGAGCACUGCAGCGCCCCCGAUCGGGCGGAGAAUGGGUGGCGGCGGAUUCGAUGUGCCAAGGGCGAGGAUGGGUGGUUUCGAGAUGUUUAACAAGGAGGGAUCCAACGGCGGUGGAGCCGACUCCGAACAAUGGGGAAAGAAGAAGGAUCUCCCGGAUUCCGACACAUGGAAGAGGGACGAGGAAAGAAGCAGCGGCGGCGGAAGGCGUAGGCUUGUGUUGCAGGCCCGCUGAAACUGAAAGAGGAGCGGGCGCCGCCAUCUCACCAGAAGGCAACAGAUCCGCGGGAAGAGGCAGCGGAACACGGCGGCGGCGGGGUGGUGGGGCUGCUCGGCCUCGGUAACCUGGUGAUGAGGAAUCUCUACUGCCUGGGCCUCGUCAGGUCCUGUUCUUAGAAACAUGGUGAGCGCAAUCGGGAAGGCAUCACAUGCGUUGGUUGUGUAAUUGCACUCUCUUUGCUGCUGCUACAUGGGUCCAGAGUUUGAAUCGGGUUCGAGUCUGUACAUAAGUGAUAGGAGUUGGUGUGCAAGUGAGAAAAUGGAAGCAUAUAUACUUCAUACAAGAGGAUAUCAGGGUCCCAUGUAGGGAAAUGGUGUGUAGCUGUGUCCAUAGAAGGACGACGGUAAAGAUUGAAGAGAGAGAGAGAGAGAGAGAGGAUACAAACGGAAAAAGGGAACACUCCACAUAUUGGACUCCUGCCGACUGGAGAACGGUCGGUGAAGGCGGUGGUUAUGAAGGGGCAACCAAUGCCAGCUGUAGGGGAAAAAGGUUGUGGGGCUUUCUGUUACUGUUCUUCCCUUGUUCUGCAUACGCGCUUUCUAGAUAGCAUAACAACUGAUCUGCGUUGGUAUUACCGACAUUCCUUGAUCGACUGACGGAAAUCACUAACGGUGUUUAUUCAUUAAUCAUUGUUAAUGUGAAACACUGUACAUUUUCUUCUCAGCUUUUGUUUGCUUCUAGGAAGAGAAAGAGACUGGUGGUUACGGUCAACAGCAUCCGUGGAGACGUUGUUCUACCCCGAACGAGCGUGCACUCCAAUAUACGAAGGCAGAUACAUUGAUUUGGCGCCCAUGGUUUUUAGCUUGAGCGUCGGAGAUGCACGCAGAAUCUGCAUUUGAUAUGGUUAAAAGGGGGGAUGCUUCUUCAACGAGGGAGAUGCUCCGGCUGGAAUGCGUUUGUGAAUGCAUAUAGAAUGACCGGUGAAGAUUGAAUCAAUUAAAUAGCAUGAUACAAUUUGUUACGGAAACAACUUUAUGCCGUGGCCUUGGGGCCGAUGCGACUUGGUUCUGGUCCGAAUGCGCGAGGAUCUUGCGCGGCGUUCCUCGGGACGGCUGGGGUGGCCGGUUACGGUGGUCCGGUCGGGACGUUGUAGUCGGGAGUGAAGCCUCGUCGCGGCGCCGGGAAGGUGCAACCUCGCCUUUGUUCCUGCACACAGGUUGGGUCGGAAGCUCGGCCCGACCCCUCCGACGAUCAAGUUAGAUGACGUUGAAGGAGUUUUUCUUAAUGAAGAAGUGUCCUCCCCCUCGUUUAGAACUCGGGGGUAUUUAUAUGGCAGUUUGGUAUUACCUGAUGUGCCUGCCUGCGGGAGGCAGGAUCGUACCUCAGAUGGCAUCUGACAUUGCUAUUGACGUUGCGUGGAGAACCGAACUGCUGCAGGGUAUGGGCGAGGAUCAAUCGUCGUCCUCCUCUGCCUCGGUCAAGCGCGUGGGGUCAGACAACAAUGAAGUCGUUGUCUGAGGGCGGAUGACGUCAGUGCAUGUCGAGUCGGCAUUAUUGCCCUCCUCCUUGGGCAGAGUGGCGCCCAGGUGAGGCCGACGUCGUGACACGUCAUGUCACCGUUAUUUUCCCCAUCACAAUUGAUCGUUUAGAGAUAGACUAUUCACUUAAAUCCUAGUAUGUUUGCUUGUUGUGAUAUUACUCCACAAAUGGGUUCUUGGUUGACUUAAAGAAUCUGAGAAGAGAAUGUGUGAACUCCAUAUCCAAUGCCAGUCAUUUCUGGGCAUCAAAUAAUUUUGAUGCCACCGAACUAGAAGAAAAAUGCAGAUAAAGAACGCACUUUUCCUGAAUCUGAUAUGAGCAAUAAGAGCUUUGUGCUUCAUGGCAUGGAUCCCAUUUGCCUCCGAGACAGGUUGGUUGUUGUGCAAUAUGGCUUAGUUAAAGAGGUGAUGAGGACCUUUCAGGAAUGCAGAUUCUCCUUCCAGAGGGAUGAAUCAUUCCUUAGCGGCGGAGAAUAGUUGUUCUGUUGAGUGUUCUAACAUGACGUAAAGUCAGAUUUGCUUGAACCAAAAGAGAAGGAAGAGAAGCAUGUCUCAGCUGCAAACUGGAAGCAGUAAAAGUUCACUGUUGAUUACAAUGUAUAAUCCACAGCAGAUUUCAUCAAAGAACAGGCCACAACAGCUCUGCUGAACUGUCUUCAGUAAGGCAUUAACCUUGAUUUGAUAACAUGAUUGUAAUCAAUCAUGUUUGCCGUGGUUAAAUAAGGUCUUAGAAGACCGCUACUAGAAACUGGUGAAUAGUACUUGAGACUGUAACAGGAAAGGUCCACCUAAUUAUGAAUAUAGAAGACUUUCCUUGUAGAAAGUAUUAGGACGAUUUGGUGUUUGAUGCACAGCAUAUAUCAAUCACUGUAUUAACUCUCCAAACAUUCACAUGAGACGAUCUCUGCACAUACCAUACAGUGGGAAGGAAUGAGGAAGUAUAUCUGUACUCUUUGGUGCACUUCGCAUCUUGGCGGAUCAUCCCACCUCCAAGAAUGGGAUACCGAGGGAAGGAUGAAGAUUGUUCAUUGUUUCCUUUGUAAAAACUGGUUGGCGCCUCUUGCAAUCCUCGCGCCUUCCCGCCAUUAGGGCUACAGCGGCGAUGUACUGGUUGGCGCGUUGGAGCAUCUCGGGGAUAGUCACGGAUGACUUCUCAAUCAACGACCAAAAGAACCUCAAAGGUCUCAAGCCUAUCAGAAAUGCUUGCAUGAUCAAAGAUGGAUGAGCAUCCGAGAAUCCCCGGAUUUCAGCGGCAAAGUGCGCCACAAAUUAGGAGAGCGGUUCAUCUUCACGUUGGGAUAAUGCGAGAAGGGUGGCCAUGGAAGGCCUGGGUCGCACGCUGGCUAGAAAGUUUUGCUCAAACUCCCUCACGAGCUGGGCAAAGGAUAAGACCGAGGACGGGCACAGUUGAACCAUGUUCGUGUCGGUCCUAUGAAGGUAGUCGGGAAUGCCCGACAAACAAGGCUUUGGAGGUGCUAUAAAAGGCCAUAUGCACCCAAAACAUGACGACAUGUUCCGCGGGGUCGGAGCCACCGUCGUACAUUUUCAAUGUCGGUAGCCUGAAGUUGAGCGGCACAGGCUUGUCCUGUAUUUCCUGAGCAAAUGGGGAUUCACCCGAGCUGCCUUCGCCCGUCUCGUCGCGCGACUUCUAGAAUUCGCGCUGGAACUCAUCUAGGCGUCGGUUGACUAUGGACAGCUGGACCCUGAAUAAGUCAUUCGCCGAGUCCGAUGAUAAGGUAUCGGGCUCGGGGUGGGGCAGAGCAACUCGACAGGGUACGAGCACACUAUGCUCGGGGAGGCUUCUCAGGUUUGCUAUCUGCUCUUGGGCUUCUCCCAUCCCGACUUGUUCCCUGCUUGGCCUUUGCUGUAUCGGGUUGGUUAGGGGAGCUGGUAAUUGCAUGAUCUGCGGAAUGAGUGGGACGAUCGUCUACAUCAUUCCCACCAUGGUUUGUACUUGCUUAGCCAAGCCGAGGAACGCCUCGAGUGAAACCACCGAGUGUCCUACGAUAUAUCCAGGGAUAGAUAGCCUUGGAUCAUUGAACAUAUGCCAGUAGCGAUCCGGCAUCGGGGCCGAGAUGCCCCCAUCCCUAAGGACGGGGAGGGGCUGAUCUUCGAGUCUGAGAGGGGGGUGAUCAUCAGGUAGUUCUCCCUCGGGAUGAGCUCCUGUGGCAUGCUCCUGCGACAUCGACACUCCUUCUAGCACAAAAAAUAUUGGUGAACUGAUACGCCGUGGCCAACAAGCCUGCACGGCUUGGUAUACGGGUCGAUGUCAGGAGUUCACGAUCAAUUAGCAGAAGCACCGAAGCCGACUAUGUUAGGAAGUCGGGAUGCAGUGACGCCGUUUGAGGGAUGGUGUCUCUCGAUCGGGGCGCCGACUCCGUCUUCGGGGAAGGUGUCUCUCGAUUGGAGUGCUGGCUCUAUCUUCCGGGAGAGCGUCUCUCGGUCGAGGCGACCGUGCUUCUCGGGGUGGUUAAGCUCCUGCACAGAAGGCCCUCGUUAGGGGGUUUCCGACAGUGGCCCCUCGUUAAAUAAGUUAGUGAUUGAUUUCUCUUUUUCUUUUUCUCCCCCCUGGCCAGAUGCUGGUCAGGGGCUUCUAUACUACUAUGCAAGGACCGAUCGUACGCUGGUUUGGCACGAUGACUGAUCCCUAAGGGGCGAGGUGGUACCUCUUGAUCCGGCAUGCGAGGGUCCCCCCUCGUACCGAUAUGAUAGGGAUGCGAGUGAUGACAUGGCUGGAGUCCAAAAUAUGCCUUGUCACUUAUUAGAAAGAUGACUGUUUCAAAUUAAUUAGAAGAACACCAGAAGCUUUUAAUCAUGUUAGCAGGCUUAACGGGCCUGAUGCGACUUCUCAGCUGCCCACAUGGUAUGUAGGAUUGGUCCACUCAAAACUUACUCUCAUCAAUGUAUAAUAAUAUCAAAGUAUGCAAUUCUAUGAGCAUUAUGACUAUUGGCUCAUUCUCUUAUUAUCAUCAUGUUCUUAAUUCUUGGAUCAUUCCUUCUUGGUUGAGAAUAAAUAUAGGAAUCAGGGCGUAAAUAAUCUACGUUUUGAAUCGCUAAUGAGAAGACCCCGACCCAACGUGACCGGACGACAUCAUUAGCCCACAAACUUGAAUAAUGAUGGGUUCAUGUGAAUUCGGUUGACCGUCUUUCAUGGUUUGUUAGUCAACGCCGACACUCGGAAUUAUCGACUUCCAUCACACCGGACGGCUCUGCGAACCUCCCACAGACGACAGCACGGGUGGGCUCCACGCAUCACGGCCCUAACGCCGACUCUUCCCAACCCUGCGCACGGUUUCUUCCGGACCGCUCCUUUCCAGAUUUCCUAUCUUAGCCACCUUUUAAUAAAUUAAUAAAUAAAUAGAAAAUAAAGAAGGAAAGAAAUAGGAACAAGUAACGCUUGGCCAUUGCCACCACCGAUCCAUUGCUCGCGGAAAAGAUCGAGAGCGAGAACGAUGGCGGCUUCCGUGACGGCGUGGGCGAAACCGGGCGCGUGGGCGUUGGACGCCGAGGAGCACGAGGCUGUCAUGGCCAAGAACGAAGACUCCUCCUCGGAGGCGCCGACGGAGCAGGAGCAAGACUUCCCCUCCCUCACCGCCGCCGCCGCCUCCAAGAUCCCCAAGAAGAAGAAGAAGGCGCAGACUCUCUACCUCGCCGAGUUCACCACGGGCAAGCCCGUCUCCCACGGCGCCGCUGGCCGCCUAUCCUCUUCCUCCUCCUUCUCCUCCAAGGGUCUCACCUCCGACGAGCUCCUCAACCUCCCCACCGGUCCCCGCGAGCGAUCCGCUGAGGAGCUCGAGCGCUCCUCCUCCCGCGGCUUCGGCUAUGCCUACGGCGCCCGCGGCCGUGCGUCCGGGGAGGACCCCAACCCCGCACGCUGGGGCUCGUCUAGGGUUUCGGACGAGCC
rnacentral:lncRNA from 1 species